GACGAACGCUGGCGGCGUGCUUAACACAUGCAAGUUGAACGGUAAGGCCCCUUCGGGGGUACACGAGUGGCGAACGGGUGAGUAACACGUGAGGAACCUGCCCUUGACUCUGGGAUAACAGUGGGAAACUUCUGCUAAUACCGGAUAUUCAGAUUCUGCCGCAUGGUGGGGUUUGGAAAGCUUUUGUGGUCAAGGAUGGUCUCGCGGCCUGUCAGCUUGUUGGUGAGGUAAUGGCUUACCAAGGCUUCGACGGGUAGCCGGCCUGAGAGGGCGACCGGCCACAUUGGGACUGAGAUACGGCCCAGACUCCUACGGGAGGCAGCAGUGGGGAAUAUUGCACAAUGGGCGAAAGCCUGAUGCAGCAACGCCGCGUGCGGGAUGACGGCCUUCGGGUUGUAAACCGCUUUCAGUAGGGACGAAGCGCAAGUGACUGUACCUACAGAAGAAGCACCGGCUAACUACGUGCCAGCAGCCGCAGUAA
rnacentral:rRNA from 1 species